rnacentral:rRNA from 1 species
GAUGAACGCUGGCGGUCUGCUUAACACAUGCAAGUCGAACGGAAUCCUUCGGGAUUUAGUGGCGGACGGGUGAGUAACACGUGAGAAUCUGCACUCAGGAUGGGGACAACAGCGGGAAACUGCUGCUAAUACCCAAUGUGCCGAAAGGUAAAAGAUUUAUCGCCUGAGAAUGAGCUCGCGGCCGAUUAGUUAGUUGGUAGGGUAAUGGCCUACCAAGACGGCGAUCGGUAGCUGGUCUGAGAGGAUGAGCAGCCACACUGGGACUGAGACACGGCCCAGACUCCUACGGGAGGCAGCAGUGGGGAAUUUUCCGCAAUGGGCGCAAGCCUGACGGAGCAAGACCGCGUGGGGGAGGAAGGCUCUUGGGUUGUAAACCCCUUUUCUCAAGGAAGAACAAAAUGACGGUACUUGAGGAAUCAGCCUCGGCUAACUCCGUGCCAGCAGCCGCGGUAAAAC